UGUUCACUGCUGUGUCUGUGCUGCUUUGAUGAGUAUCAGGCUCAUAUAAUGAUAUAAAAUGAGGCCGGGUGCAGAUUCUGGAUAUCAGUCCUUUGUCGGAUGGGUAAACUGCAAAAAUUUUUUCCCAUUCUGUUGGUUGCCGCUCCACUCUAGUGACUGUUUCUUUUGCCGUGCAGAAGCUGUGGAAUUUCAUUAGGUCCCAUUUGUCUAUUUUGGCUUUUGUUGCCAAUGCUUUUGGUGUUUUGUUCAUGAAGUCCUUGCCUACUCCUAUGUCCUGGAUAGUUUUGCCUAGAUUUUCUUCUAGGGUUUUUAUGGUGCCAGGUCUUAUGUUUAAGUCUUUAAUCCAUCUGGAGUUAAUUUUAGUGUAAGGUGUCAGGAAGGGGUCCAGUUUCUGCUUUCUGCACAUGGCUAGCCAGUUUUCCCAACACCAUUUGUUAAACAUGGAAUCCUUUCCCCAUUGCUUGUUUUUGUCAGGUUUAUCAAAGAUUGUAUAGUUGUAUGUAUGUUGUGUUGCCUCCGGUGCCUCUGUUUUGUUCCAUUGGUCUAUAUCUCUGUUUUGGUACCAGUACCAUGCUGUUUUGAUUACUGUAGCCUUGUAGUAUAGUUUGAAAUCCAGUAGUGUGAUGCCCCCCGCUGUGUUCUUUUUGCUUAGAAUUGACUUGGCUAUGUGGGCUCUCUUUUGGUUCCAUAUGAAGUUCAUGGUGUUUUUUUUCCAGUUCUGUGAAGAAAGUCAAUGGUAGCUUGAUGGGGAUAGCGUUGAUUCUGUAAAUUACUUUGGGCAGUAUAGCCAUUUUCACGAUAUUAAUUCUUCCUAACCAUGAACAUGGAAUGUUUCUCCAUCUGUUUGUGUCCUCUCUGAUUUCGUUGAGCAGUGGUUUGUAGUUCUCCUUGAAGAGGUCUCUUACGUUCCUUGUGAGUUGUAUUCCAAGGUAUUUUAUUCUUUUUGUAGCAAUUGCGAAUGGCAGUUCGCUCUUGAUUUGGCUUUCUUUAAGUCUGUUAUUGGUGUAGACGAAUGCUUGUGAUUUUUGCACAUUGAUAUUAUAUCCUGAGACUUUGCUGAAGUUGCUUAUCAGUUUCAGGAGUUUUUGGGCUGAGGCAAUGGGGUCUUCUAGGUAUACUAUCAUGUCGUCUGCAAAUAGAGACAAUUUGGCUUCCACCUUUCCUAUUUGAAUACCCUUUAUUUCUUUUUCUUUCCUGAUUGCUCUGGCUAGAACUUCCAGUACUAUAUUGAGUAGGAGUGGUAAAAGAGGACAUCCUUGUCUAGUGUCGGAUUUCAAAGGGAAUGCUUCCAGUUUUUGCCCAUUGAGUAUGAUAUUGGCUGUUGGUUUGUCAUAAAUAGCUUUUAUUACUUUGAGAUACGUUCCACCGAUACCGAGUUUAUUGAGGGUUUUUAGCAUAAAGUGCUGUUGAAUUUUGUCAAAUGCCUUCUCUGCAUCAAUUGAGAUAAUCAUGUGGUUUUUGUUUUUGGUUCUGUUUAUGUGGUGAAUUACAUUUAUAGACUUGCGUAUGUUGAACCAGCCUUGCAUCCCC
rnacentral:lncRNA from 1 species